rnacentral:lncRNA from 1 species
AAACAUUCUGAUGUGGUGAUCCACACAUUCAGACAAUCAUAUUUUAGAAGUCAGCCUGGCUUAGGGGCAGGGGGCAUGGGAAAGAGUUUCUGGGGAGACCUUUCACCUUGAGGACCUGGGAAUGGUACAGGCUAGCAGGUGUGAAUGAAGACUCCCUUGGAUUAAUUACAAGAAGCUGUGAUGCUAAAGGAGGGUGAGACAAUUCAGUACUGACCAUGAUAAUUGAAAGAAUCCUGUGUCUCUGUGGUCCUCCAUGACUUGGCAUCCAUCAGUCCCUCCCUGCUGCCAUGAUGUAGAACGUGGCUGUCAGGUCCAGUAUGAACAAGCUACUUUCUGGUGAGGAAGCAGACUCAAGAAGAUUAAUAACUUGCCCAAAGUUGCAGCGGUGGAGAGGCAGCCUAGAGAUCCAGCUGCCAAUCUGCCAGAUCCCAAAGCUCCUCUCCUGCUUGACCUCCAUGUCCACGUGCUGGGACAGUGGGCAGGGAAGGCUGUGUCAGUUUCUGGAUCAGAUCUUGGAGGUGAGCUUCUCACGAACAGGGCUUCCUGGAACCUGUAGUUUUGUGCAAGUCACACCAAAUGGUGUGAAACCAAAGCAUCAGCCGGUGGAAACAACUCUAGCCCAGAAAAAGCUGACUGAGCCCAAGAGCCCCCAAAGCCAAUCUAGUCACUGUUCUGAAAAAAAAAAAAAAAGAAAAAAAAAGAAAUAUAUCAAUCCCCCCUUGCUCCUAAAGGAGGUAUUAAAUACAUGAAACAUCAU